GCAGAUGUGGCCGAGAGGUUAAGGCGACUGACUAGAAAUCAGUUUCCCUUCGGGAG
rnacentral:tRNA from 1 species